rnacentral:rRNA from 1 species
GUAGGGAAUAUUGCGCAAUGGGGGAAACCCUGACGCAGCGACGCCGCGUGAGUGAUGAAGGCCUUCGGGUCGUAAAGCUCUGUUGCAGGGGAAUAAAAAAAUGAAGGUACCCUGUGAGGAAGGAUCGGCUAACUUCGUGCCAGCAGCCGCGGUAAGACGAGGGAUCCUAGCGUUGCUCGGAAUCAUUGUGCGUAAAGAGGGCGUAGGUGGCUUGGUAAGUCAGGUGUGAAAGCCCAGGGCUCAAACCUGGAAGUGCAUUUGAUACGGCGGAGCUUGAGUGUCGGAGAGGUUAGCGGAAUACCUGGUGUAGUGGUGAAAUACGGAGAUAUCAGGUGGAACACCGGAGGCGAAGGCGGGUAACUGGACGAACACUGACACUGAGGCCCGAAAGCGUGGGGAUCAAACAAGAUUAGAAACCCGGGUAGUCC